rnacentral:lncRNA from 1 species
UAUGUCGGAGAUGGUGGAACAACGAAAGGCAUUAACGAGAACUGUUGAAAAUAUUAUGAAUAAGUAUACAAUCUUAUAUUUAUUUUUUGUGUAUAUGUGUAUUGGUUAAAUAUGAUAUAUGCAGGGUAAAGAAAGAAAGGCGCGGACCUAGAUAUGGGUCGGGUUAUAUCCGGUUAACAAUAGCAGGUAUAAAAGAAGAGAGAGAGUGUAAAGAGGGCAGAUUCAGCUACCUUCAUCCUGUUCUUCUGUCUCGUUUUCUCUCUUGUACAAGUUCUGUCAAUUAGGGUUUUGUGAAAGGAUCGAAGUGUUGAGUCGUAGAUCUGAUAUAUUUUUUCCUAAUUGUUCUUUGUGUUCUAUUGUGCAAUAUUCAGUUGUUCAUCUCAGAUUAUCAUCCUAGAUUAGGGUUUGAGUGUUUUGUUACGAGAGUAGAAUAGGGUAUUUGUAGUGAGGUUUUUUGAUGUAUGUUCUUGAAAACCUUCUGUUUCUUUGUCCUUAAAUGAUAUAAGAAAUGAAGAUGUUGGGAAAAAUGUGAUUGUAGUUUUAUAACAUGGUAUCAGAGCUUGAGGUUCGUCGUUCUUGUUCCUGACGCAUCUUCUGGUGGUUAUUACUACGAUCUGUUGUCAUCGCUGUCACGAGGUUAGUUUUCUGGUUGAUUAACCUGGUUUGAGUUACUCUGUAUUAGACUUAGGGUUUCAUUCUUUUACUCUUCUUCUAAGUUUUUUUGAGAUCCUGGUACUGCGAGAUUUUGUGUUGUUCUUGCAGAUUGAGUCUCCUUCUGGUGCUGAUCUCUGAGUGAAACUGAAAAUCACAAGUGUGUCCGUUAUCGAUUAAUCCCUCUAAUCUUCUCUUUGGGGUCGGAUUUCAUCACCGAUAAACCCGUUGAGUAAAAGAUUCAGGGAGUCGAUUUUUAAACAAGAAAUUUGCCUUAAGCACUGUGAGGUUUUCUUGUUCCCUUUCCUUUUCUUGUUUGGUUAUAGAUGUGUUGGAUCUAGUGCUCUUGUUACAUCGAAUUAUUUGGUGUCUGGAACUUGUUGUUGAUUCUAUUUGUUUCUUUGCUCGCCUUAUGUUUGGUUGUCUUGGGCCCCGACAAACUGUGGUGACCAUCUGGACUUUAAGCCAACAUAAGUGUUGUUUUUUGCUCUUUACUUGUUGACAUUUUCUUGUCUUGUUUGUUCCUUGAUUGGUGUUAUUUUGUGAUCUGUUAUGGCUGGAGAUACACCUGAGGGAAGUGGUGUCCCUAAGGAUUCUCCUGUUGACUUUGAUGAUCCUUUAUACAUACAUCCUUCUGAUAAUACAGUUACUUCCAUAAUAACUAUUAAAUUGACUGGUAAUGAAAAUUUCCGUUUAUGGCGUAGUGCAAUGACUAGAGGUCUUAAAGCUAGAAACAAAUUGGGUUUUGUGGAUGGAACUAUUGUUCUUGAAAAAACUGAUGAAACAAAAAAAUCUAAAUGGGAACGUGUGAAUGCUGUUGUGUGUAAUUGGUUAUUAGGAUCUAUAUCUGAAGCAAUAUAUGCUAAUCAUGUGUAUUCUGAUAAUGCUAAAGACAUUUGGGAUGAGUUGUUUGAAACCUAUAAUAAGGCUGAUGGUUCUGUAAUUUUUAAUAUUCAUCAGCAGAUAAACACCUUAAAACAAAGUGGUUCUUCUCUUUCAGACUAUUAUAACAAACUUGAUUGUUUAUGGAAAGAGUUUGAUGGGUUGACUAGUUUAUCUGAAUGUGUUUGUGAAGCUGCAAAUAAACUAAAUGAUCAUUCUAAAAUGAUGAAAUUAAUGCAAUUCUUAAGUGGUCUUGAUGAUAUAUAUAAUCAGGUUAAAAGUCACAUUCUUUUAAUGGAACCAUUGCCUAAUGUUAAAACUGCUUUCUCAAUUCUCUCUAGAGAAGAGUCUCUUCAAAAGAAUGGUUCAUUGAGUUCUGUUGUUUCUUCAAAACCUCAAGUAUCUGUUUUUAAUAGUAAGGUUACUGAUUUUAAAAAAGGUCAAGGUCAAAAUAGAUUCAGAAAUCAAGGGCUACAGUGCAAGCACUGUAAUCUUAAAGGUCAUACAAUAGAAAAGUGCUACAAAUUGAUUGGAUAUCCAAAGGAUUUUAAACAAAGAAUUGGAAAUAAUAAUCAAAAUAAAUCUGUUUCUGUGAAUUCUUCUUCUGUUGGUUCAAACAGCAAUUCUGUGGUUGCUUCUGAGUCUGGUUGUGGUAGUGAAUGUCACUAUCUUACUAGUGAACAAUAUUCAAAAUUUCUUCGUCUCAUAAAUGAGACUCCUGACAAUAAGGAUGUACCUGCUGCUGCAAAUAUGGCAGGUACAACAACUACAACAACAUAUUGUUUUAAUUCUUUUGUUACUUCAAAUAAAUCUCAAAGUUGGAUUGUUGAUUCUGGAGCAAAUCAACAUAUGAUAGCCUCAGAAUCACAACUCCAAGAUACUGUGGAUGUGUCUAAACUUAAUCUACUUGUAAAACAUCCUAAUGGUUCUUCUGCUAAAAUAAAUAAGAUUGGGAAUGUUCAAUUGUCCUCUAAUCUUACUUUAUUUGAUGUGUUUGCUGUGCCAGACUUUAAUGUUAAUCUUUUGUCUGUACAUAAACUAUGUAAGGAUAAUGGAUGUGAAAUUACUUUCUCUGAACAUAAUUGUAAAAUUCAGGAUUCACUAUCAAAGAAGAUGGUGGAGAAUGGUAGAGAAUCUGGGGGAUUAUAUUACCUAGAUCACAUUCCCUCAGGUAAUUCAGUAAAUCUGAUUAAUUCUAAGUGUUGUGUCUCAAAGUUAACUUGGCAUAGUAGACUAGGUCAUCCUGCUGAUCAGGCUCUGAAUAUUUUGAAAAAUAAAUUGAAACUGGGAAAUGAGUCACUCCCUCCUUGUGAUGUAUGUCAUAGGGCUAAACAGACUAGGGAGUCAUUCUCACUUAGUCAACAUUGUUCAACUCAGUUGGGUGAAUUAAUUCACUUAGAUGUUUGGGGUCCCUAUAGACUAGCUUCUGUAGAAGGGUUUAAGUUUUUUCUGACUGUUGUGGAUGAUUUCUCAAGGGCUACUUGGGUUUUUUUGUUGAAAUCUAAAAGUGAAGUUUUUGAUUGCUUUAAGGUUUUUGUAAAUAUUUUGAUGAAUCAGUUUAGUGUCAAUGUUAAGGUUGUGAGAUCUGAUAAUGGUACUGAAUUUGUAAAUAAUCAAAUGAAAUAUUUUUGUAUUGAACGAGGUAUCAUUCAUCAGACUUCCUGUGCUUACACUCCACAACAAAAUGGAGUUGUGGAAAGGAAGCACAGACACAUACUUAAUGUUGCAAGAUCUCUUUUGUUUCAGUCAGCUGUUCCGAUAAAAUAUUGGGGAGAUGCUGUUUUAACUUCAGUUUUUUUGAUAAAUAGAAUGCCUACAUCAGUUUUACAUGGGUUAUCUCCUUAUGAACUUGUUUAUAAAAGAACACCUAAUUUUGAUUAUUUGAGAAUUUUUGGUUGUCUUUGUUUUGCUGCUAAACAAAAUGUUUCUGAUAAGUUUUCUGAACGUGCUGAAAAGUGUGUUUUAUUAGGAUAUUCUUCUGAUAAAAAGGCUUAUAAGCUUCUUAGUCUUGAUACUAAUACUUCUUUUAUGUCCAGGGAUGUGAAAUUUUAUGAAUCUGUUUUUCCAUAUAAGUUGAAGUCAGCUAAUGUUGACAAAAAUUUUUCUGAUUAUGGCCCAAAUGAUCCAUUUUCCUAUGAUGAAUUUGAUACAAAUGAAUACUUAAAUGAUUCUAUUAAUCUUGAUGAGCUGAGAGUAGAGUCACAGAUGGAUGGUACUGAUGCAGCCAUUCACCUGGAUGAUAUCAAUUCUAAUAAUGAUGUCAAUCGUAGUGGCGAGGCAAUUGUGCCUCCUUCUGCAGAUUCUGUUCCUUCUUCUUCUAACAUUUCUGAGGAAAGGAGUCAGUCACCCUUAAUCCCUUCUGUUGAACAGUCUUUAGGUCCUUCUAGGUCUAGACGUGAGUCUCAUAUGCCUGUAAAGUUUUCUGAUUACAUUGUUGAAGGAAAAUAUAAAUAUGGUAUAGAAAGAACUGUUAAUUAUUCCUUUUUAGACAAUAAUACUAAAUGUUUUAUUUCAAAUUUGAAUAAAACUGUUGAGCCUAAAGAUUAUAAGGAAGCUUUAACUGAUCCGAACUGGGUUAAAGCUAUGAAUGAAGAGAUGGAAGCUCUCCAUAGAAAUAAUACUUGGGAAAUUACAUGUUUACCUAAGAACAGAAAGCCAAUAGGUUGUAAGUGGGUUUUUAAAAUAAAAUAUAAGUCUAAUGGUGAAGUAGAAAGAUAUAAGGCUCGUUUAGUAGCUAAAGGGUAUAAUCAAAGGGAAGGAAUUGAUUUUGAAGAAACUUUUUCUCCUGUUGCAAAAAUUGUGACUGUAAGAAUAAUUAUUUCUUUAUCUGUACACAAUUCUUGGCCAUUAUAUCAGUUAGAUAUUAAUAAUGCAUUCUUAUAUGGUGACUUAACUGAAGAUGUUUAUAUGUCUCUUCCUCCUGGAUAUUUUUCUGUUGGUGAUUCUAGGGUUUGUAAACUUACAAAAUCUUUAUAUGGUUUGAAACAAGCUCCUAGGAAGUGGAAUGAAAAACUUUGUUCUGCCUUGUUUAUGUUUGGUUUUAAGCAGAGUAUAAGUGACUACUCAUUAUUUGUUAGAAAAUUUGAAGGAUCUAUAACUAUGUUGCUUGUAUAUGUAGAUGAUAUUAUUUUAACUGGAAGUUGUGAACAUGAAUUGCAGAAAGUUAAAGACUUUAUGAAAACUCAGUUUUUAAUUAAAGAUCUUGGAACUUUAAAAUAUUUUUUGGGAAUUGAGGUAAUAAAAUUUAAUAAUGGUUUGUGUUUAAAUCAAAGGAAAUAUUGUUUAGAAUUGUUACAUGAGUAUGGUAUGCUUGGGUGUAAAUCAGUAAAUACUCCAUUGGAAACAAAUAUUCUGAUAAAGGCUGAUGAAAAUAAAAAAGAAAAUUCAUUAUUGGAGAAUAAAACUGAGUUUCAGAAAAUUAUUGGUAAAUUGAUAUAUUUGACAGUUACUAGACCAGAUAUUUCAUAUGCUGUUCAAGUACUCAGUCAGUUUAUGCAUAAGCCUAAAAAAUCUCAUCUAAAAAUUGUUUUUAGACUUUUAAGAUACUUAAAAAACAGUCCUGGAAAAGGGGUGUUUAUAACCAAAUCUGAUAAAUUUGAGCUUAAAGGGUUUGUAGAUGCUGACUGGGCUAAAUGCAUGAUUACAAGGAAAUCAGUGUCUGGAUAUUUGGUUUAUUUUAAUAACUGUUUAAUAUCAUGGAAGAGUAAAAAACAGUCUACUGUUUCUAGAUCCUCCACUGAGGCUGAAUAUAGAGCUUUAGGAUCUAUUACUUGUGAAAUAAUUUGGAUAUUAAAAGUUUUGUUUGAAUUAGAAGUUAAAGAUUUAAUUCCUGUUUCAGUUUUUUGUGAUAAUGAGUCAACUAUCAAAUUAGCUUUAAAUCCAGUGUUUCAUGAAAGAACAAAACAUUUUGAAAUUGAUUUGCAUUUUAUUAGAGAAAAGAUUUCUAAUGGUGUGAUAAGGUUGGUUAAGAUUUGUUCAUCUGAACAAACUGCAGAUAUUUUAACUAAAUCUUUAAAUGUUAAGCAGCAUGAUUUUCUAACUAAGAAAAUGGGUGUUGUUGAUGUUUUUAAAAGUGAAAAAUAAAUAUUUCGAUUGAGGGGGGAUGUUGAAAAUAUUAUGAAUAAGUAUACAAUCUUAUAUUUAUUUUUUGUGUAUAUGUGUAUUGGUUAAAUAUGAUAUAUGCAGGGUAAAGAAAGAAAGGCGCGGACCUAGAUAUGGGUCGGGUUAUAUCCGGUUAACAAUAGCAGGUAUAAAAGAAGAGAGAGAGUGUAAAGAGGGCAGAUUCAGCUACCUUCAUCCUGUUCUUCUGUCUCGUUUUCUCUCUUGUACAAGUUCUGUCAAUUAGGGUUUUGUGAAAGGAUCGAAGUGUUGAGUCGUAGAUCUGAUAUAUUUUUUCCUAAUUGUUCUUUGUGUUCUAUUGUGCAAUAUUCAGUUGUUCAUCUCAGAUUAUCAUCCUAGAUUAGGGUUUGAGUGUUUUGUUACGAGAGUAGAAUAGGGUAUUUGUAGUGAGGUUUUUUGAUGUAUGUUCUUGAAAACCUUCUGUUUCUUUGUCCUUAAAUGAUAUAAGAAAUGAAGAUGUUGGGAAAAAUGUGAUUGUAGUUUUAUAACAAGAACAACACAGUCAUAAACCGCCAUGGAUUAUUCAGCAUUCAUAUGCCGGCGUAUUACGAUUCGGUUCUUAAAGGC